GUAAGUAAGAAACUUCUCUCCUCUUUUCUCACAAUGUGCGCUCACCUAGACGGCCGGGCAGUUAGGAUCGUCUAUUGGAUGUGAAACCAGAGAUGCCCGCCAACCUGGAAUAGAGAGGAAGAGAGCAAGCAGAUUUGAACCUAUCUGCUUUCAAGCUGGUCAUCAUGAUGAAACUUAGACACAUGAUCCACUCGCUUCGGCCUCCCAAAGUGCUGGGAUUAUAGGCGUGAGCCACUGUGCCCAGCCUCACAGCUGCAUCUUAACCUUACCUUUGCCUCUGCCUCUCAAGCUGGUACCUCCUAAUUUACAUCCUAAGAGUGGAACCAUGUGACAAGGACUGGAGUGCCAUUGGCUGUGGACUGUUCAGGCAGGGAAGUACAAGACCACUCUUGUAUUCAGGGGCAACCAAAGGAGAGAAUUACGUACUUGUUGAGUACAAACUGCACCAAGCCCUGGAGACCCAUUACCACCGUUAACCCUCAAUACAGCUCUGCUAGUAAGGGAUUCGUCUCCCCAAAUGAAAAAAAAAAGUAAUCUCAGAAUGUUGGCCGAGCAUGGUGGCUCACACCUGUAAUCCCAGUUAUGCAGGAGGCUGAGGCAGGAGAAUCACUUGAUCUCAGGAGGCGGAGGUUGCAGUGAGUCGACAUCACACCACUGCACUCCAGCCUGGGGGACAGAGUGAGACUUCGUCUCGG
rnacentral:lncRNA from 1 species